CUGGUUGAUCCUGCCAGUAGUCAUAUGCUUGUCUCAAAGAUUAAGCCAUGCAUGUCUAAGUAUAAACAAGUUUGUACUGUGAAACUGCGAAUGGCUCAUUAAAUCAGUUAUAGUUUAUUUGAUGAUGACUUUCUACAUGGAUAACUGUGGAAAACUAGAGCUAAUACAUGCAACUGAAGCCCCGACUUCUGGGAGGGGUGUAUUUAUUAGAUAAAAAACCAACGCGGCUCGCCGCUCGUCUGGUGAUUCAUAAUAACUUUUCGAAUCGCAUGGCCUUGUGCUGGCGAUGCUUCAUUCAAAUAUCUGCCCUAUCAACUUUCGAUGGUAGGAUAGUGGCCUACCAUGGUUUCAACGGGUAACGGGGAAUAAGGGUUCGAUUCCGGAGAGGGAGCCUGAGAAACGGCUACCACAUCCAUGGAAGGCAGCAGGCGCGCAAAUUACCCAAUCCCGACACGGGGAGGUAGUGACAAUAAAUAACGAUAUAGGGCUCUUUAGGGUCUUAUAAUUGGAAUGAGUACAAUUCAAAUCUCUUAACGAGGAACAAUUGGAGGGCAAGUCUGGU
rnacentral:rRNA from 1 species